rnacentral:rRNA from 1 species
AUCCAGAGAAUUUAGCAGAGAUGCUUUAGUGCCUUCGGGAACUCUGAGACAGGUGCUGCAUGGCUGUCGUCAGCUCGUGUUGUGAAAUGUUUGGGUUAAGUCCCGCAACGAGCGCAACCCUUAUCCUUUGUUGCCAGCACGUAAUGGUGGGAACUCAAAGGAGACUGCCGGUGAUAAACCGGAGGAAGGUGGGGAUGACGUCAAGUCAUCAUGGCCCUUACGAGUAGGGCUACACACGUGCUACAAUGGCGCAUACAAAGAGAAGCGACCUCGCGAGAGCAAGCGGACCUCAUAAAGUGCGUCGUAGUCCGGAUUGGAGUCUGCAACUCGACUCCAUGAAGUCGGAAUCGCUAGUAAUCGUAAAUCAGAAUGUUACGGUGAAUACGUUCCCGGGCCUUGUACACACCGCCCGUCACACCAUGGGAGUGGGUUGCAAAAGAAGUAGAUAGCUUAACCUUCGGGAGGGCGUUUACCACUUUGUGAUUCAUGACUGGGGUGAAGUCGUAACAAGGUAAGCGUAGUGCU